AGUUUAGCGAGGUCUUUUUUUAUUUUCACAGUAGAGAAGAAAAAAAAACUUGGGAUGGAAACAGUUGAACACACUGCCUCUACAAUCCUGGUCGUACAAAUAGUGACUAAGAAUUCAAAGAAAGGACUUUUUCUAUUCCAUACUGGAGUUUUGGUUGUUUACAAACCACAUGGAUAUCCGUGGGUGCAGUUUUUUUCUUUUUUGGUUCAUUUUUGUUUGUCUCAAAUUUGUUCGCUUCUAAAAAAUGAGACGGGUGGGGUUUGCAAGUGCGCUUCUGCCAUAUGGACAUUAAGUGGCGUUGGAUUUUUUUAUUUUUUUUUUUCUUCUCCAUGAGAGAGUGGCAGGCAUCACAACAACAUGGACAAGAUCCUGGAAUUGGACCGAAGUCUGAUCAUGGAUCCUGACACUCGAUCGACCAUGGAGCAGAGGCGGGAAAAUCAAGGAUAAGACUCUGUUUUGUAGAGAAUAGAGUGCAGGGCUGCAUAACCCUGGAGGGAACUGAGGGCGAAAUGAGAACACCUGGUUCGCGCACUUCGUCUUCACCUCAACCCUCACAAGCACUCACACCCUGCCCUCAACAACUCACCUAUGCACUUUUGUUCAUUCAAGCUGUGAGGUACCAUUUUGGGGAUGGGAGCACAAUUACAACAGGAGGAUUGCAACGACUUUGACUUAGUCACUGAAAAGAUAUUCCCAAACCGAAAAAAAAGAGACUUGAGAAGCAUGCCUUCUCCCACCUCCUGUAUAUAUUCAUAUUUUUGUAUUACCUUUCAGAGUAGAGAGAAAAUUUACAAAUGGAUGAAGGAAAAUUCUUGAGACACUGAUUAUAUGGAGUGAAUGUUCUUUAAGAAUACCAAUCUUUUUGAAAAUAGUUUGAGAGACUCGUUGUGAGUUUCCCGUAGUUUGCCAGUAGCCCUGAAAUAACCGGGGAUGGAAGGGAAAACCACAUGGAACAUGGACUGAGGUGCUAGAUGUGCUACAGCAUCUGCGAAAUGACUGAUAUUUACUUAUCCAAGUGGAUGUUGCAGCGCUUGCAAAGCUCCACCAUGAAUGUUUGCCAACAUGUGCAGUAAAGAGGCAGACUUUUACUUUGAAGAACUGUCGACAAGGAUGCUUCCACUUCGUGUCCCAACCUGGUGACUGCCUUGAGAGCUGUAGCAUGACCGCAGAAGGGGAAAUUCUUGGCGUUGGUUCCUGGCUGUGCUUUAUUUGCUGCCCUCUACAAGGAGGAUCUAAUCUACAGCCGUCACGUGAACCAACCAACCCAGAAUAUUUCCUUUUGAACUUAAAUCCUAAGAAACUUUUCUGUCUUGACCUUGGACUCGGCAGGCCAUUGGCAUUAUCAGUUGGACAGUUACCAGAUGAAGUUACAGGUUUAUCAACCAUGGAUUCCAUCUGUGUUGGAAAUGUUAGCCUGGGCAUUGGAUCGGCGCUCUCCUGCGAUAGUAUAAAGAAACACAAAUUGCCCAGGUGUCGUCAUCCACCUCAACCUGAAACUCUUGGGUGGUUCCGUGGAGGUCUUCUUACGGAGCGGUUAGAAGACCUGCCCUCCCACUCAGACGUCUGUGUUGGGUUUUGGUGGAUGUGGCUAAAUUACAUCUCAGCCACUACAAAUCCCUGCAGCUGUGGAACUGGAUGAACUGAUAGAAUUGUACAAAACAGACUGAAAAACAUGACAAAACACAAACACAUGGAUACAUGUCUCAUUGAUUCUUAGAGUCCAAAGGAGUGGCAGACACUACAUGCACACUUAGAGCAAAAGCAUUGUACACACAGUUACAUUGCCUCUCCUCUGGAACUGCGUCUGCUCACGUAAUAGGGCUACAUCAACAUCACAUCACACAUAAAUGCAGACACAAGCAUCAGUUCUCAGCACUAUACAAGCUGAGCUUUGUAAAUAAUGUAAAUGUUUGUGUUUUGAUUUUUCUCAGUAGGAUUUGCUUUAUUUCUCUGUUCAACAUGCCUUAAAUUGUAUAGUUCAGUCCUGAAUGGCUAACUGAAAAUGUUCUAAAGAUAAAUUUAAUUUGGAAACCACCUGGUUUACUGUCCUCUAAAGUUAAAGAAAGACUGUUUCCUACUGGCUAACAGAAGUGUAUAUUCUCUAUUACCUUCAUAUUCUUCAUCUGAUCACCAUUAAAAUAACUAGUUAGCAACAGAAUAGAGCAGCUUGGUGGUCUUUGGUUCAUCAGACUGUGCCGGUGGUUGUUUUAUGUUGCCCUUUUGGUUUACUUCAAAUGAAGAGUGGAUUUGUUUAGAUUUUCUUUGUCGAUCAUUGCUAUAAAUGCAGGCUAAAAUCUGUACUGAGUGGAGCUGAGCUGAUGGGCUGGAUUGCACAGACUUGUGCUGUUUGAUUAAUGUUGGUUGCACUGCUGCAGGCAGAACUGAACCCGAAUGGCAGGUCAUUUUCAAAUUGAGAUACAAGCUCAGGCUUUUCUUUUCUCUCUUUUUUUUUUUUAAACACUCCAGGGACUUGAUGAUUUGGACGGUACAUGGUACUUUUUACAGUUAUGAGAUUAUGGCUUGGACUUGUUAGAGAACGCUUACCUGAUUGUGGGUCUUGACACUAAACCUGGACAUGGGUCAUAUCGGGGCCCCAGUUGGCCUCUGUUCUGUCUGCGACCCUGGUUGUGCUGCUGACUGUCUCAGGAGGCACUGAACAGAGGACUCAGUCUUGUGUCUUGUUAUGUGUGUAUCUAAUUGGAUUUGAGCGAUUGUUUUUAGUCAAUCAAUAGAUUUCUCCUUGUUUGUAUCCUUGAUUGCUUAAAAAAAAAAUGCUGUUUUUAAAUCUAAAUGGCAACUGGUCUUCGUAGUAUACAAUCAGCUUAGAUGUGUAAUACAUUUUGAUUAGCUGAUAUUUUGGUGGAUAGUUAUCUGCCAUAGUUAACUAUGUAAACUGGGGUAGCCAUGGUAGCUGCCAAUAUAGCAUAAUUGUUGAAUUGCUCCUGAACUAAACAAAAAAUAACAAGGUUGGACAUUUUAAAAAGCAGAUACUGUGUGGAGUAGGUGUUGGUCAGUCAUUCAGUCUUAAAACGAUAAACAGUAGUUGUUUGCAGUUUAUUUUACUGAACUUCAAAGGCUUUUAUGAUGUGAUGACCUGUAAUAUUGUGUUGUCAAAAAGCCCUGGAUGUUUGGUUGUUGUUUUGGAAAUCAUCCUGUCAAGGUUUUUCCCCCAACGGUGUCACUGGCCUAAAUAUCUAAGGAAAAAGUAUCCUCCAGUCAGCUCAGCUCCUAUGUCUUUGAAUGUUGUUAAAAUAACAGCAUACAUGUAAUGAAACUGUUUUGGAAAAGAACAACUAAAAGAUAUGUAAAUAGUUUGGCUUUUGUUUGUUUGAAGAACAAAAUAAAUACUAAAUAAAUGGCA